CUCUUUCUCAUAUGUCAUAUUUUUUCUUUUAUCGAGAUCUGGAUUCCAGUCCAGUGAAGCCCCGAAGGGCAUACAUGUUAAUCUGAAUUUCAGUUUGGUGAAGCUCCGAAAGGCAUACAUGUUAAUCUGGAUUCCAAUUCAGUGAAGCCCUGAAGGGCAUACAUAUUGAUCCGAAUUCCAAUCCGAUGAAGCCCCAAAAGGCAUACAUGUAAAUCUAAAUUCCAAUCCGA
rnacentral:lncRNA from 1 species